GAUGAACGCUGGCGGCGUGCUUAACACAUGCAAGUCGAACGGAAAGGCUCCUGCUUGCAGGGGUACUCGAGUGGCGAACGGGUGAGUAACACGUGGGUGAUCUGCCCUGCACUUCGGGAUAAGCCUGGGAAACUGGGUCUAAUACCGGAUAGGACGAUGGUUUGGAUGCCAUUGUGGAAAGUUUUUCGGUGUGGGAUGAGCUCGCGGCCUAUCAGCUUGUUGGUGGGGUAAUGGCCUACCAAGGCGUCGACGGGUAGCCGGCCUGAGAGGGUGUACGGCCACAUUGGGACUGAGAUACGGCCCAGACUCCUACGGGAGGCAGCAGUGGGGAAUAUUGCACAAUGGGCGCGAGCCUGAUGCAGCGACGCCGCGUGGGGGAUGACGGCCUUCGGGUUGUAAACUCCUUUCGCUAGGGACGAAGCGCAAGUGACGGUACCUGGAGAAGAAGCACCGGCUAACUACGUG
rnacentral:rRNA from 1 species